rnacentral:lncRNA from 1 species
UGAUUGUUUGCAGACUACAUUUUAUUUAAUUUGUUUUCUUUGUUUUAGUCAAUUUAACCGUGAAAAUUAUGAAGAAAUUGACCCGGAUUACGCUGAAUUCCUUGAGAAAAAUGGUGAAGAUUAUUAUGAUAGAUUGGAAGAUUCCAGACUUGGAGUUCAAAUUCAAAAUGCACCUAACACCUACGCAGUAAGUUUUAUUCCAUUGGGAUUUGCAGAUCAUGAAAUUCCCGAUGUACAUAUCUUUGAAUUCACUCUUAACCAUUUCAACCAUUUCAGCAAAACACAAAUUGUAAGUUUUUCUCUUUUCAUUUGAUUUUUCACAUCUCAACUUAGUUUUUUUAAAUGUCUAUGAUAUUUAUUAUCUCUUAUUUAUAUUUUGUCUAAUUCUUCAAAUUUUGUUUUAUAGACUUUGCCAAAUGAAUUGUCAAAAUAUGUUCGUGAUUUGAAUUUGCAAACCCUAAUUCUUGAAGUACCAGGAACAAACACUUCAAAGGUCCAUUUAAGGUAUCCAACCAAUCCUUCUGAAAAUGUCCACAUUGUUGGAGGAUGGAAAAACUUUUGCUUUGACAAUGGAAUUCAAUUCGGUGAUAGGCUUCGAAUUGAGUUCAAACAUGUUUAUCCAAAUGUUGGUAAAGUUUAUAAGGUUACAACUUAAUUGGAUACAUAUAUGUGAGAUCCAUAUGUAACCUACCUAAAUGUUUGAUUUUUGGUUUCAAGUUUUCCUUCAAAUUGUAAUAGACAUUGACAAGAAAUUGUA